UCCCUUCCCGACCGCUCCUCUCUCGUUCCCCAAUCUCUCCUCUCUCGCACUACGUAGAGGUUGCGCCGCCAUCGUUGUUGGAUCGCCGCCUUCGUCUACGCCUACCCUCUGCUGUCCUCCCUUUCCUGUCUUCCCUAAAGGCACAGCAGGAGCAUCUUUUUCUCAAGCCGGCGGCAAGCACCAUCCCCAGAUCGAUGGCACACUAAACCUUUGAAGCAUGUGUCCGGUUUUUCAAGCCAUAUUUGGAGUCUUUGGGAGCGCCGUCGCCAGAUUCACUACAUCGAGCGCCCAGCCGGAGAUCCUAUGUAAGAUGUCUACAGAAGGUGUUGAGUGUAUUAGAGACUUCAAGAAAUCUGAAUCGGAAGUUGUCAAACUUGAGUAUACAAGAAGGUGAUCAGUGUAUUAGAGACCUCAAGAAAUCUGAAUCGGAAGUUGUCAAACUUGAGUACCGAAUGUCGUUGAUCCAGAUGAGAGUCCUGCGAAACAGAUCCGCUAUGGUUUGAAGGAAUUAAUCAAUCUUCAUUUUCUGGACACACUUAUGGACGAUGUGUGCCACUUGCCGGCAACGCUUAAUGUUGUAGGUGGUGUUCAUACUGGCUGCAGCCAAUUAUUGAUUCAGGUAAAUCUUGGAGGCAAGUUCUAGCAUUUUGAUAUGGGGAAUGUUUUGUUCUUCAAUCUCUGAGGGCAUUGGACAGCAUGCUCCAAGUUAAAUGGAUUAGUGCGGACCCUCAAAAGGAAAUGGUUGAUCAAGGGGGACGAUUACCAAAGCUAGAGUACCAAUUCUGAUGAUGUUUGAUCUUGGGAGUGGCUUCUCUUGUAGUGUACGCAUCCAUAUAGAAAAAUGGGGAAGUUAACACAACAUUUUUUGAUCUAUGCCUUAAAAAGAUCCAUUAGGUACUCUAAUGACAGGAAAUCUAACGGACACAAAGUUGAUGAAAUCAGGUACUGGAAUGUGUUUGUUAUUUUCCAGCCAA